AUCUAGCUGACGAGUCCCAAGUAAGACGAAACGCGCGUCCUGUUU
rnacentral:hammerhead_ribozyme from 1 species